rnacentral:rRNA from 1 species
GGCUACGGCCACACCACCCUGAAUGUGUCUGACUUAGUCUGAUCUCGGAAGCUAAACAGGUCUUUCCUGGUUAGCACUUGGGUGGGAGAAAUCCCCACAUGGGGUCUUGUGGCUGAGUUC